GGCUGAAAGGCGGGGCCUGGUAAAAAAAAAAAAACAGAACUGCUGCUGAGGCGGAGGAGAGGACUUAAGGACUAUGGGUUUAUCCUCUGGCCGGACCAAAGAGAAGAUAUUUACUCCAGUGAGUGCGAAGUGAGUGCCUCGUUCACACCCACAGUCGCGCCGUCCCCUCUUCCCGCUCUGGGGCCAGCAACUCUUGUUAGAAUGCAGAUGCCUUUUGUCCAUGGACUGUGAGGCAGCAGACACUCUCUGCGUAGGAUCAUCAUGCCGAGCAUAAACUGGACUUUCCCACUUGCCUGGCAGGAGUCACACAGAUCCCUGCGUGCUAAAUGAACAUCUGAGGUUUGAGAUGGGGCCCAAGAUGCUUUUCUGACAAGUUUCCUGGUGAUGCAAUGUUGCUGUUGGGGAAACCUCCAUUUGACCCUUGAAUCCUGACUAUUGGAGAAACAGCACCAUAUUUUGGAUACUGAUUCAGACCAUAUACAGCCUUCUGGAGAAUCUUGCCCCAGUCCUGAAAGGUAUUUCUAUUCAUCUAGUUGGUGCUAUAACUGAGUCUUCAAAAGACAAUUCCACUGUUCUAU
rnacentral:lncRNA from 10 species